CACAGCAAAGAUAAAAACGCAACGCAUACAAAGAGCUAUGCCAGAGCCGGUAGGUAGCCCGGCCGUCACAGAAUCUUGUGGUAAGUAACCUUCCCCUCCGGGUUGUCCAUUCUUUGUUCAUAAAGU
rfam:Oribacterium sp. ACB1 genomic scaffold acqcx-supercont2.1, whole genome shotgun sequence.